ACCUGAUGAUGUGGACAUUGAUGAAGUAGGUCCCUAAAACACUCCUAAGUCUUAAAGAAAAAUUCCCCAUCCGUUUGUGUGAAACUUGUGAUUGCCCUUCGCAGCU